GGGGUUGCAAUCAAAAUGCUGGUCAGUCUACGUGCGCUUCAGUGAGAUGACCACUGCGGCCUCCAGGUGAUGGAGCAAUGCCUGCAUCUUCCAUCUGACAAAACAGUGCCCUUGAAGCAUGAGUGAGAAAGAUGCUUCAGCAGGAGACUGCAAAUUGGUGGAAAUUUAAUUGAGGAGUAUGCUGUGUUGGAACCAGCUGGAAAGGAGCAAGCUAAGAGACCAUCUUUGGGCUGGAGCUAAGUACAAGCCUUGCUCCAGUGCUUAAUUUCCACCCCCACCAGCUUGUUGUUGACUCUGAAGAAACCAGGCUCCCCGGAGGAUGUGUCUUUGGCUGAAGAAAGAGAGUUUCUCUUCAGUUUGUCUUCUGUGUAAAUAAAAGGAACACGAAGCACAAAUGUUACUCUGGUUCUUAUUGAUUAAAGUCCUAACAAGUUAAACAGCUUUACAGUGAGGCAGCUUAGUCUCUCAUGGCUGCCAUGCAGCUAAUCAUGAGGAGGCUGUGGGCUAAGCUUGCCUUGGUCCUAGCUCCCCAUGGAUACUCCCCUCCUCCUCCUCUGGCAUUCUUUGUAAGCCUACAUUUUUC
rnacentral:lncRNA from 1 species